CAGAGAGUAGUUUAAGGUUAAAAUGCUAGUUUUGGGGACUAGUGUUGGGCGGUGCGCUCCUCUUUGA
rnacentral:tRNA from 1 species